ensembl:lncRNA
AAAGGUUCAGCUCUGUUUGGAUUUGCUGAAUAUCAGUUUUUAGAAAACUGGCAAAAAGGAGUAGUAAUUGUUCUUAGCAGAGUUUCAUUAUUUCAGGGAGGUGCGUGGAUGUCUGAUUCACUCCUGUAAAAAUGUAAGGCAAAACAACAAGCUUAUGAAUAUAAAGGACUGUCUGAUAGGAAGUAGACAGAUAAAGUCAACUGAAUGUAGCAGAUCGUGACAGAGCUAAACCUUUUAUGAUAAAAAAUUAACUGAGCGUUAUAGGCAGAUCAAUACAGCACAUCCACUUUGAACAAGUUCACACUCAUACCAGAAGCAAAGUAUUGCAAUUGUUACAAUAGUCUGCAAAUCGCUUUUUAAUAGCUGGGUAAAUAUUUGAGCAAUUCACUUGCUUCAAGCUUCCUGAGGCUUCACUCUUACUUGCAGAAUGACAGCAUUGCCAGAAACCCAGAAUCUGCCCUUGAAUCAACCUUUGAAGGAACAGACAGCAGCAACAAUACCAGUGACAUACAGUGUUUGAGUAAUAAUUGUGGGGUUAUUCAGGCUCUAUGCAGAAACGCAGGCUAAGAAAUAGCAUGAAGUUCCAGGGAAGACAUUUUCUACAGCACUUUGAGGAAAUAAAAUUUAAGAAAAUUAUAUUUAAGAUUUCCAACAUUCCUAGAAUUCUGUUACCAGUGAGAGUCAUAAGAAUAUUGAUGUAAGUGAGUGGGUUUAAAGAUCAAAAAGAAUAGAUCCACGUCAGACUUUUCCUUUAUUCUGAGGUUUGGCUCCCUUCCAUCUUUUCAUGAAAUAAAUUGGCUGCAGCAAAGCAGCUAGUAGCAUUCUGCCGAGUGGAAGUAUCCUAGCAGAAGGACAGAAGCAGGCACAAUAAGGACUAGGAAUGAAAGACAACUCAGGUUAUCAGAGUUUCUCAACGAAUUGCAAAAUGGUGCUCCGCUCAGGCCGUGAAAAGCCAUACAGAGUGCCUACUUGUGGAAGGCAAAGAGUGAAAAGGAAAGUUUCGGUGAGCACCAGAUCAGCAGCUGCUGAAAACUCAGAGCUUCAACUGCGGAAAACACUGAGGUGCUUUAUACAGACUGAAGAUUCAAAAACUGUGCAUUUCAACUUAGAUGAAUGUGGUCGUCAUGAAAUAUCAACCAUGGAUUCACAACGCCCUGCAGAUACAGCAUGGUUAAGCCUGUUCACAAGCAAGGAGCCAGCAGUUAUAGGAAAAACAGACUCUAAAAAUGUGGUGGUCCUCAUGCAGCGAUUAAAGUGUAAUGAAUUUGUGCUGUUGAGCAAAGGUGAAGAUCAGCUCUGCCUGAAGGUUUUAAAGGGAUGCUGUUCCGAGCCAGAUCAUACUUCAGUGGCAAAAGGCAACAGGAGAACGUGCAAGAAGAGAGGUCUUGACUUCAAAAAGCUGAAGGAAGAUAAUCACUUUUUCAUCAUGCAUUCUGAAGGAGAUUCAGUGAAGUUCCAGUGCUAUGAAGACACAAAUUACUUUCUGCAUGUGAAUGAUCAUUCACUUGACAUACGCAAGCUGGAUCAUGAUGACCCUGAUGGGGAGAGAAACUUUGUCUUCAAGAAAUCUAAUAAACAGAAGAGUUAA